rnacentral:rRNA from 1 species
GACGAACGCUGGCGGCGUGCUUAACACAUGCAAGUCGAACGGAAAGACCCUGCUUUUGUGGGGUGCUCGAGUGGCGAACGGGUGAGUAACACGUGAGUAACCUGCCCUUGACUUUGGGAUAACUUCAGGAAACUGGGGCUAAUACCGGAUAGGAUCUCCUGCUGCAUGGUGGGGGUUGGAAAGUUUCGGCGGUUGGGGAUGGACUCGCGGCUUAUCAGCUGGUUGGUGGGGUAGUGGCUUACCAAGGCUUUGACGGGUAGCCGGCCUGAGAGGGUGACCGGCCACAUUGGGACUGAGAUACGGCCCAGACUCGUACGGGAGGCAGCAGUGGGGAAUAUUGCACAAUGGGCGGAAGCCUGAUGCAGCAACGCCGCGUGCGGGAUGACGGCCUUCGGGUUGUAAACCGCUUUCGCCUGUGACGAAGCGUGAGUGACGGUAAUGGGUAAAGAAGCACCGGCUAACUACGUG